CUGCAGCCAAUUAAGUUGACUGUAAUCUUUCCCCAUGGGAGCCUUGUGUGCAAUGGCUGCAAACAAUAGCCUCCUUGGUAGUGUAUGCAGCCUGUUGAAUGUAUGGGUUGCCCUAAGGAACCUUGGAGAUGGCC
ensembl:snoRNA SNORA70 Small nucleolar RNA SNORA70